rnacentral:rRNA from 1 species
ACGUUCGGAUUGUAGGCUGAAACUCGCCUACAUGAAGCUGGAAUUGCUAGUAAUCACAGGUCAGCAUACUGUGGUGAAUACGUUCCCGGGCCUUGUACACACCGCCCGUCACACCAUGAGAGUUGAGAAUACCCGAAGCCCAUGUCAAAGUGGUCGAAGGUAGGCUUGAUGAUUGGGGUGAAGUCGUAACAAGGUAUC